rnacentral:rRNA from 1 species
AUUGAACGCUGGCGGCAUGCCUUACACAUGCAAGUCGUACGCACUGGCCCAACUGAUUGACGGUGCUUGCACCAGAUUGACGAUGGAUUACCAGUGAGUGGCGGACGGGUGAGUAACACGUGGGUAACCUGCCCCGGAGCGGGGGAUAACAUUUGGAAACAGAUGCUAAUACCGCAUAACUACGAAGACCACAUGGUCUUCGUAUAAAAGAUGGCUCUGCUAUCACUCUGGGAUGGACCCGCGGUGCAUUAGCUAGUUGGUAAGGUAACGGCUUACCAAGGGGAUGAGGCAUAGCCGAGUUGAGAGACUGAUCGGCCACAAUGGAACUGAGACACGGUCCAUACUCCUACGGGAGGCAGCAGUAGGGAAUCUUCCACAAUGGGCGCAAGCCUGAUGGAGCAACACCGCGUGAGUGAAGAAGGGUUUCGGCUCGUAAAGCUCUGUUGUUGGAGAAGAACGUAUCUGAGAGUAACUGUUCAGGUAGUGACGGUAUCCAACCAGAAAGUCACGGCUAACUACGUGCCAGCAGCCGCCGUAACAC